CUUGUUAGGCGGAUUCUCAUCAGGCAAUUACGUUUUUUUGGCCGUCUCAGAACUUUAAAAGUGUUUGGCCGGGAUCGUGAGUUUUAAUCAAAAGACCUCAAAUCAAGCAAGAAUACCCGCUUAACUUAAGCUUAUCAAUAAGCCGAGGAAAAGAAACUAACAGGGAUUCCCCUUGUAACGGCAAGUGAAGAGGGAAGAGCUCCAAUUUUAAAACUGCCUUGUUCCAAGGUCGAGUUGUAAUUUGAAGAAGCGUUUUCUUGGGCUCGCGGCCGGUAGAAGUUCUUUGGAACAGGACAUCAUACAUCAUAGAGGGUGACAAUCCCGUCCGUGACCGGUCGUGCGUUCAUCUACGAUACGCUUUCAAAGAGUCGAGUUGUUUGGGAUUGCAGCUCCAAACGGGUGGUAAACAUCACCUAAGGCUAAAUAUUGGCGAGAGACCGAUAGCGAACAAGUACCGUGAGGGAAAGAUGAAAAGAC
rnacentral:rRNA from 1 species